GUCAGCUCCUAACGCCGCAGGUUCCUCCUGGUCCCCGAGGCCCCCGGUCGGGCGUUGCCUGCCCCGCGCGGGCGGCCGGGCCGAGGGACGAUGGUCAGUGGACGGACGGCGCCAGGGAGCAGUGCCCACGCGCGGCAGGGCGGUACCUUCAGGCCUCCAGGUGUCAUCGAACACCCUUGUGCUUGCUGUCACCCGCUGCCUGUCUGCAGGAUCCCGGAUUCCGUAUCAGGGGACCGAAAUUAGUCGGAAAAUAGGAAGCAGGUGCUCGCUUGGAUGGAACCCUGACCCUGUGCUCACACUUGUAGGAGGAGGGCUCUGCAGGCCGCCUCCCGGAACGGGAGGUUCCCAAGCCACUGCACUUCGGAGGGGCUGUAAUUAGAGUUGCACAUUCAUUCAGUUCCCAGUAAAGUAGAACGUGCUCCAGCCAGUGAGGAAAAGGUGUUUUUAAAAAUUAGAUUGGCCGAGUGCGGUGGCUCAUGCCUUUUACCUCAACACUUUGGGAGACAAAGGUGGGAGGAUCACCUGUGGCCAGGAGUUCAAGACCAGCCUGGGCAACAGAGCCUGUCUCUGGGGAAGAAUAAAAAAAAAAAUUGAGCCUUUGUCAGUGCUACUAUUUUAUUAUCUGGUAAAUAUGAGAGGGUU
rnacentral:lncRNA from 1 species